rnacentral:rRNA from 1 species
CGUAGGGUACGAGCAUUAAUCGGAAUUAUUGGGCGUAAAGGGCGCGUAGGCGGAAUUGUAAGUCAGAUGUGAAAUACCAAAGCUCAACUUUGGUGCUGCAUUUGAAACUACAAAUCUCGAGGACGUGACGGAGAAAGCGGAAUUCCACGUGUAGCGGUGAAAUGCGUAGAUACGUGGAGGAACACCGGUGGCGAAAGCGGCUUUCUAGUUUUUACCUGACGCUGAGGCGCGAGAGCAAGGGGAGCAAACAGGAUUAGAUACCCUGGUAGUCCUUGUCGUAAACGAUGUGUACUUGAUGUAGCUGGGCUCAACCCUAGCUGUAUCGGAGCUAACGCGUUAAGUACACCGCCUGAGGAGUACGCUCGCAAGGGUG